rnacentral:rRNA from 1 species
CACGCCGUAAACGAUGGAUACUAGCUGUUGGGCGCAAGUUCAGUGGCUAAGCGAAAGUGAUAAGUAUCCCACCUGGGGAGUACGUUCGCAAGAAUGAAACUCAAAGGAAUUGACGGGGGCCCGCACAAGCGGUGGAGCAUGUGGUUUAAUUCGAUGAUACGCGAGGAACCUUACCAAGGCUUAAAUGUAGAUUGACCGGUUUGGAAACAGACUUUUCGCAAGACAAGUUACAAGGUGC